GAUGAAGAACGCAGCGAAAUGCGAUAAGUAGUGUGAAUUGCAGAAUUCAGUGGAUCAUCGAAUCUUUGAACGCACAUUGCGCCCUUUGGUAUUCCUUAGGGCAUGCCUGUUCGAGCGUCAUUUAAACCUUCAAGCUCAGCUUGGUGUUGGGUGACUGUCCGCUUCACCGCGGACUCGCCUCAAAAUUAUUGGCGGCCGGUACAUUGGCUUCGAGCGCAGCAGAAACGCGAACUCGGGCCCGUCGUAUUGGCUCCCAGAAGCUAUCUUCACAAUUUUGACCUCGGAUCAGGUAGGGAUACCCGCUGAACUUAAGCAUAUCAAUAAGCGGAGGA
rnacentral:misc_RNA from 1 species